rnacentral:rRNA from 1 species
AGCGACAGAAGAAGACACCGGCUAACUCCGUGCCAGCAGCCGCGGUAAUACGGAGGGUGCGAGCGUUAAUCGGAAUUACUGGGCGUAAAGCGCAUGCAGGUGGUUUGGUUUAAGUUCAGAUGUGAAAGACCCGGGGCGUCAACCUCGGAAUAGCAUUUGAAACUAGGCAGACUAGAGUACUGUAGAGGGGGGUAGGAAGUUUCUAGGUGUAGCGGUGAAAUAGCGUAGAGAUCUGAAGGAAUACCGGUGGCGAAGGCGGCCCCCUCGGACAGAUACUGACACUCAGAUGCGAAAGCGUGGGGAGCAAACAGGAUUAGAUACCCUGGUAG